rnacentral:RNase_P_RNA from 2 species
GAAGUGGAGUGGGCAGUCGCGGUGCGCUUGCCGCAUCGAGGAAGGUCCGGACUCCAUAGGGCGGGAUGACGGCUAACGGCCGUGCACGGUGACGUGACGAACAGGGCCACAGAGACGAGUAAGCACCGGGCGACCGGUGUGGACGUGAAACGCGGCAACCUCCAUCUGGAGCAACACCAAAUAGGCAGACGCGCCAGCGGCAACGCUGGCACAGCGCGGCCCGCGCGAGUCUGCGGGUAGGUGGCUUGAGCCCCGCAGCAAUGCUGGGCCUAGAGGAAUGGCUGCCACGGCGUCGGCGAUAAGCCUGCGCUGCACAGAAUCCGGCUUAUAGCUCCGCUUCGCAC